CGCAAUCGCGGCAUUCGUUCAACUUUUGUCUAUCGGUAACAACAAAACAGAAAUAAAGAAAGUGAAGCAAAAAGUAAAAUACGUUGUACGCUACGUAGAGAAAAAAAAGAGCGAAACCGUGGUAAUCCAGUGGAAGUUAAUUAUCUUAACGGAGUUGUACCAAUAAUUCGAAACAUAGAGCCAGUAAAUUAAGGACAGUUCCCUGAUUCAACGUAAUGGCUUACUUCCCAUUCGGCUUUGCAACCAGUUUCAUAUGCUAUUCGCGAUGAAAUAGGUUUCAUUGUAAGGUGACAUGAGGCGAUUAGAGUUCUAGCUAUUUGUUUCAGGUUUUAAGUAGUUAUAAUGUGGAUAAAAGUUUGCUGGUUAGAUUGGUAUUUGACGAGUAAGGUUUUCAACCAAAGAAGGUUCACGAGUUCUUUUGAAAAAUUUUUAUUUACUUUUAAGAGGAAACAGUAAGUUCACUACUCUUUUACUUAAAUACUUUUCGCAACGAAAGUAUUUUUUUCUUUACUACUAAAAAAGGCAUAAGUUAAAUUACUAAUAAAAACAAAGGUAAUAUUGUUGUUAUUACUACUAUUAUCUCUGUAACAUAAUUUUAUGGGUAGUUAUGAGGUAAUUAUUUCCCAUCUUAGUAGAUUACUUUUUUUAUUAAAUUCUUGCUUAUUUUUGUAAAUAUCUUAGAAAUGAGGAUUCAGCAAAACCAACGGUAUUUUCACAAAUUAAGAGACGACACGGAUAACAGUCGUUUCAUCGAAUAUUAAAAUAACACGUGGACUUGAUGCACAAUCUUCGCAUGUAGAAUAUUAAAUACUUCAACAGUUGAUGGUAUUGUCGAGGAUAAAUCUUGAAGUACUCCUCCGAUAUAUGUGUUCGAUAUAUUUUAAGAAAAGAGACUCUCACGUCAUAACAGGCACGUUUCUGUCCUAAAAACGUUCAUAUUAUGAAGACAUCGAUGGAAUACUAAUGCUGGACAUUAUUAAACGAUUCCUGUAUAAUCAGAAAAAAAUUUCCAGGACGUUCUUAUUUUUCCUGUCUUCUGUGAAAAAAAUAAAAAUCCACGGGGAGAACGCUGCAUAACGUUGGUAUAACAUAGGAGUGUCUUCGGAUACAAAGUUAUCAGGACGACGAAGAAGAAAACGAGUUAACUGGUGUUAGCCGGUUGAAAGGUCAACGGAUGAUUAAAAUUCCCGAAGGGUAAUUCGGUGAUAAUCUUGAGAGACUGAUAUCACCCAGUGGUGGUUCGAUUUCUUCCUCGAGCAACGUCACUCCUACGUUCUUAUUAUUUUAUUUAUUUAAACUCUCAUUCACUUCUGAGCGACUAUUAUAGCAUACAGAUAUAUUACAUAGACUUGUACAAUGCUAUAUUAGACCAGUCUGUUAUUAAGUAAUUACCGACACUGCAUGUUAUAACAAAUGUUAUGUCCAUUAUACAAUAUUUACAUUGUAUGAUGGGCAUAUUAUGUAUAACAGAUAUCAAUUACGGUGUAUGCUGUUGUUGCUUCACUGCAGCUACGUUAGUUGGACAAGGAUUACGUCGCUUAGGAAUUUCUAGAGAUGUUUCACCACUCCCAUCUUGUCAUGCUGCUGCUUUUUCGGGAGACAACCGUGUGAUGAGCUGCACUUUUGCGUCAACGUCCGAUGAACAUUGCAGUUUACUUCUCGACGACAGACCUGAAUGUUUAAGGAACGUUGGCGUGAAAGUGCAGUUUACCACACGGUUGUCUCCUGAAAAUUCAAAAUCUGUGACAAAACGGAAGUAGUGAAACACCUUUAUCGCCAAUCAUCGUCAAAGUUUAAAGUUUUAAACCUAAAAUCGAAAUCUAAAAUUUACUUCCUUCUCAUUUACGCUCGAUUUAACCAGUUACCUAUUUCUGACGAGUAUACUCGUCAGGAAGAAACGACAGUAUUUUGCGUUAUCACUAGCCUUGUCAGUAACAAAAUUAAAAAAUAAAGCGAUCAUUUCGUUACAACUUAAUUGUCUAUUAUGAUAGCCACGCAUACUCUGUGUUUGA